GUGACCUUACCACUUUGGAAGCACGUUCCCGUCUGAUCAUCGAGGUUAAGCUAGGUUGGGCCCGGUUAGUACUUGCAUGGGUGACCGGCUGGGAAUAUCGGGUGCUGAGGCC
rnacentral:rRNA from 1 species